rnacentral:rRNA from 1 species
CACGCCUUAAACUAUGAAUACUAAGUGUCGGCGGGUUACCGCCGGUGCCGCAGCUAACGCAUUAAGUAUUCCGCCUGGGAAGUACGGCCGCAAGGUUGAAACUCAAAAGAAUUGACGGGGGCCCGCACAAGCGGUGGAGCAUGUGGUUUAAUUCGACGCAACGCGAAGAACCUUACCCAGGCUGGACAUGCAGGUAGUAGAAGGGUGAAAGCCCAACGAGGUAGUAAUACCAUCCUGCUCAG